AUCUCUUAGGAUCUGACAGUAAUUUUCUUCUUUUUACUUUAUCUAACUCCUUGGUACUAUCAACUCCUUAUGCCUUGUAUUUUACCAUCUUAAUUGGAUUGAACAUCAUCCCAUGGAUGAUUGUACAACAGAUCACAAAACUGGGAAACAGCAGUCUGCCAUUUAGCUAUCAGCAUUUACCGAGGACAAGGGCAGACUACCUAUCCUCCUAGCAGCCAUUUGAUAGGCGGAUUAAUUGGUGGUAAUACCACCUGACACCAUAAUACCUUGUUUGGUACACAAAGAAAGGUGGGAUUAUCUUAACUCCAGAAGCAAUACAAGGAUAGAGUAAGAAAGAGAACAUACAUAAAAGCAAAAUAACAACCACGAAGAUCAUUAUCAAAGAACAAGAACAGAACAUCCCAAAGUGGAUAAGGGCAGGAAGCUCUGUCUAAGCCCAGAAUAUGUCACAAAAUUCACCAAUAUUCAGGCCUUGUGUAAAAACUGUUCAAUGAGAUGACAAUAUAUCCUCCAAAUCAUCCCCAUCAUUUUGACCAUCUAAUAGAAACAGGGCACCAAUCCUUCAAAUGGUCUAUCUAAUUACCCCAAUUGAUAGUGCUAGUGAUGUUCAGAUUUCCACUGAAAAGUCCAUUGCAGCAGUCAAGAGAAAGAGAUAGCAACUAACCUUCACAACAUCUAAGAAUAUAUGUGAUUCCUUGAUGUUCAUGAUUACCAGGAAAAAAAUCAUAACUAUGACGUUCACUCCUUCCCAUACUGCAAGAGCUAACUGGUUGGUCAAUCUCGACCACUGCAUCCAACUUAAUCCAGUGACUGGUUUAAAAGAACCCAUGAGAAUAUAUAUUCAUUUAAACCGUGGUUACAGUGAAACCUAGUCCCAAGCAAAUACCAAAUUCGUAACAACUAAUCCAAAACUCCAGCAAUAUAUUUCCAGAACCACCUGCUUGAUCUCCCUCUGCCCAGCAAAACCAACUUCUCACCUCUAUACAUACAUCACAGAACAAGCACUUUUGAGAACCUAUGACACUUUUAACAGUUUUUAAACUGAAACUAGUAGUACUGUUUUAUCAUUACAUUAUUAUAACGAACACCCAAAUUUUUCAUCUGUCUCUGCAGCAAGAUAGCUUCCCAAUUUGCAAAUUUUCCCUCUCCCAUCAUAAUAUAAUUCAGUGUUAUUAAAGGCGCGCCUUGAUACCAAGCGCAAGCCUGGCGCCUAGAACCGAACUAGGCGUGCGACAUCUGCCCAGGCGCGCCUGGGUGCAUCCAGGCCCUUAGGCGCAGCCUUGGGCUUAGAUGUGCCAAGGCUGCGCCUGGUUGGUUUUAAUUGAAUUUCAGUUUAAUGUAGUUUAAUUUUAGUAUUUCUUGCUAUAUUUAAUCAAAUCUAAUCCUAAUUCAAAUUAAACCUAAAUAAAGAAAGCAAGAUAUUCUAAAAAGAUGAAUUCAAAGAGACUUAUGAUAGAAGAAAUCUCAAAAGUCAAGUUUGCAGUUGUCCUCUCCUCUCCCUUCUUGGCUAUUCUUGACUAUCCUCUCCACGGCAGUCACGGCACAGCUCCAAGACAACCAGAACUCCUCCUCCUUCUCGGCUUUCCUCUCCCUCUUCAAACGGACGGCUGCAACGGCACAGCCCUCCCUUCUCGCUCGACUCUCCUCUCCCUAUUCAAACAGAUAGGACCGGCUGCACAACCACCAUUCUUGGCUCUCCUCUCCCUCUUCAAACGGACAACACCCAUCUCGGCUUUUCUUGCUCUCUUCAAACGGACAACACAGCUUCACUUCACAACUUAUCUCCCUUCUCGACUCUCCUUUCUCUUCUUCAAAGUUCAAAUGGACAGCAUAGCUACAGCCUACUGCAUCAUCUACCUUCUCGGCUCUCCUCUCCCUUCUUCAACGGUUUCCAGGUAUGUUCAUUGUUGUUUCCUCUCUUUAUUUUUUUUCUAGUUUUGAGUUACAAGUUUCAACAAAAAGGCAGCAAGCUAGCUGCCAGCAACUGUUGAUUUGUUGUAUGUAAGCUAGCUGCCAAUGACCCUUAAGCCAGCUGCCAGCAACUAUUGAUUUCUUAUUGUUGUUGGUUAUUUGUUUGUUCUUGGAGAAGUUAUUUUAUUACUCUUAACAAUUUAUUACUAUUCUAUAAAUAAAAUAGUGGUCAGCAGCUCUUACUAGCAUGAGUCGCAUGGCUCCAAUGACCCUUAGGCCUUAGCAAUUAUGCCAAUUCAAUACUAUUCAUAAAUAGAACAGUGGUCAACUGCAUCAGCAAUCAGCCCCAUGAGCUGCAUAGCUGCAAUGACAAAUGACCCUUUGCGGUAUUUUUUUUUUUUUCUUAAGAUGGUCUUUAGAGUGGUAUUGUUGUUGACAUGUUGUGAAUCUUGCAGGAAUCAAAAAUUUAAAAUGUCAUCCAACACUAUUGAUCCUAAUCCUGAUAGUAGCUCUGUUGGUAGAAGAAAAGAUCCAGCAUGGAAAUAUCAUAGUUUGGUAAAUCCCAAAGACCUUAACACUUUCAAUGUAAUUUUUGUGGGAAAUUAACUAAAGGAGGUGUAUACCGAGCCAAACAACACCUUGCUGGAGGUUAUAGGAAUGUUGAAAUUUGUUCAAAAUGUCCUCCUCAUGUUAGAGACGAAAUUAUAGAGUUUAUGUCAAAAAAGAAAGGGAAGAAUGACUUUGAUGAUAUGCCAGAUUUUGAUGAUAUAGACACACUAGGAGAUGAUGUCGAUGAAAUGGACGUAAGGGCCUUCCAAAACCAUGGUAAAAGGCCUAUGCAAGGACAAGCAUCAUCUAUGCAACAAAAAAAAAACAAAGGCAACAGCAAAAAGGGCCUCUUGAUUUGUUUUUAUCUGCUAAACCUAAAGUGAGUAAUCAAAAGGAUGCAAAAGGAAAGCAAACUACAAUAGAAAGUCAUGUCAACAAAGAGUUGAGAGAGAAUGUAUGUGUUUGGUUCAGUAGAUGGAUGUAUGAAGCUGGUAUACCAUUUAGUGCAGUCAAUUACCCUAGUUUUAAGCCAAUAAUGGAGGCUGUUGAGCGAGCUAGUCCGGGAAUGAAACCCCCAAGUUUUCAUGAGGUUAGAGUACCUUAUCUUAAGAAGGAGGUGGAACACACAAAAGAAAUUAUGAAGAGUCAUAGGGAGGAAUGGGCAAGAUAUGGAUGUACAAUCAUGUGUGAUGGUUGGAAAGAUAAGCGAGUGUGUUUAUUGAUACAUCAGUCAUAGGGAGUGUGUUUAUUGAAUCUAUUGAUACAUCUUCCUAUGCUAAAGAUGGAAUGAAACUUUAUCAAUUGCUUGACCGAUUUGUGGAGGAGAUAGGAGAAACAAAUGUUGUUCAAGUUGUAACUGAUAAUGCUUCAGCUAAUGUUCUAGCUGGAGAGUUCUUAAUGACUAAGCACAAGAAUUUGUAUUGGACGCCGUGUGCUGCCUAUUGUUUGGACUUGAUGUUGGAGGACAUUUUUAAAAUUCCUAGACUUAAGAGCACAUUUCAGAAGGCAUGUUCAGUCAAUGGGUACCUAUAUAGCUCUGCACAAGUAUUAAAUAUGAUGAGAUCAUUUACACAAAAAAGAGAGAUGCUAAGACCUGGAAAAACAAGAUUUGCCACAGCUUUCCUCACCCUUUCAAGAUUUCAUAAACAAAAAGCUAAUUUGAGGAAGAUGUUUACUUCAGAAGAGUGGACUAACUCUAGAUUUGCAAAGGAAACAUGAGAUAAGCAAGCAGCUCAAACAGUGCUCCAGGAAUCAUUUUGGAAAAAUAUUCUUUUUGCUCUCAAGGUGUCUGGGCCUCUUGUCAAGGUGCUUAGAGUGGUGGAUAAUGAGGACAAACCUGCUAUGCCUUAUAUUUAUGAGGCUAUGGAUAGGGCAAAAGAAGCCAUUGCAAAAUCUUUUGAUGAUGAGAGCAAAUACGAGAAAAUAUUUGAAAUCAUUGAUGAGAGAUGGAAUGUUCAGUUGCAUCGUCCUUUACAUGCAGCUGGAUAUUAUUUGAAUCCAGAAUUUUUUUACUCAAAUGAAAGUAUUAGAGAAGAUAACGAGGUUAUUGAAGGGUUGUAUGCUUGCAUAGAGAGGAUGGUUCCCACUGCAGAAGUGCAAGACAAACUUUCGAAGGAGUUGAGCUUUUAUAAGAAUUCUGAAGGGUUAUUUGGCAAACAAAUAUGUAUUAGAGGAAGGAAUCAAUUAUCACCAGGUAACACGGUUUUCUAAAUUAUCUAAUUUAGAUUAGAUCAAUAAUCUAUAUUUUUAAUUGCUAAUUUGUAUGUGUUUUUCUCAGUUGAAUGGUGGUCUCAAUUUGGUACUGGAACCCCUAAUUUGCAAAAGUUUGCCAUGAAGAUUUGUAGUCUCACUUGUAGCUCUUCAGGUUGUGAAAGAAAUUGGAGUAUCUUUGAGCAUGUAAGCAUUUCAAUCUUAUUAGUAAUAUUAAGUAUUAACUAGAUGAUUUCUUAUAUCUUUUAACUUACUCUAAUUCUAAUUUAAUCAUUAUGGCAACUUCAUAACAAAAAGAGAAAUCGAUUGGAGCAACAACGUCUUAAUGAUUUGAUAUUUGUGAAGUAUAAUAGAGCUUUGAGAUGUCGCUUCAAUUUACGUAAAUCAAUAGAUCUCAUUUCCUUGGAUGAAAUUGAUGAAAGUAAUGAGUGGUUGCUUGGGACAAUUGACCAACUUGAUGAUUCAGAUAAUGAACUUGUACAUGAGGGCGAUGAUUUAACAUGGGCUGAUGUUUCUAGAGCUUCUGGUGUUGAAAAAGCUCACUAUGCAACUAGAUUAAAUGCUCCAACUCUAAAUUUGACAAAGAGUAGAAAAAUGGCUACUACUUCAAAUGCUCCAAUUGAACCUGAUGAAGAGGAAGAGAGAUAUGAUGUGGAAGAAGAGGAUAUUGGAGAUGAUGUUUCUGAUGAUGGGAAUAUGGAAAUGUUAGAUCUUGAUGUUGACAACGAGGAUGAUUUUUAGAUUAUCUAAUCUUAAUUAGGAUUUAAGAUCUACAAACCUCUUUUGAAUUUAAUCUAAUUUUAGUUAAAGACUUUUCUUACAAAUAUUUUUAACUUCUGUGAUACUUAUAUAUUUUGGUUGCUGAAAUAUGUUUGGAUUUGUUGUGCUGUAA